rnacentral:misc_RNA from 1 species
GCUGUUGAUUCUUAUCCUAACCCUGAUGAUAAGAUUCGAAGCACCAGUUUUCAGGUUCAAGGAGGUGGCAAUGCAGGGAAUGCUUUGACUUGUGCAGCUCGUUUAGGCCUAUCUCCGAGAAUUAUAUCAAAGGUUGCAGAUGAUUCUCAAGGGAAAGCAAUACUGGAAGAGCUGGAAGCUGAUGGGGUCGAUACAUCGUUUAUGGUGGUAUCCGAAGGGGGCCAUUCGACAUUCUCUUACGUCAUUGUUGAUAGUCAAGCGAAAACUCGGACUUGCAUUUACACCCCAGGAUACCCACCUAUGAUACCUGAGGAUUUAUCCAAGUCGAAUUUGUCAUCAGCUCUGGAUGAUGUGAGAUUUGUAUAUUUUGAUGGAGUAUUGCAAGAAACUGAAUUGUUAUCAGCUUUAGUUGUGGCUCGAGAGGCACAUCGGAGGAAUAUACCUAUUGUAAUUGAUGCAGAAAGUAAAAGAGAAAGGGUAGAUGACCUUCUAAACUUGGCAACUUAUGUCGUAUGCUCAGCGAGAUUUCCACAGGUAUGGACAGAGGCCCCUUCAAUCCCAGCUGCUCUAGUUUCUGUACUUCUAAAGUUGCCAAACAUCAAAUUUGUAAUUGUGACAUUGGGUGAAGAUGGUUGCAUGAUGUUAGAAAGGGCUGAAGCUGAGGAUCUCCAGUCUGAAGAAAUUGAUGUCGAUGAGUUGUUCAAGAAAAUGAAGCAGAGUAUUGAUACUGACGCAACCAGUGCAACAUCCAUAUCUUCGGAUAUUGCAAAAUUGCGUGCAAAAGGCAUCGGGACAGUGAGUGGGAAGCUGCUUCUUGGAACAGCUGAAAAGAUCCCGCCAUCAGAAUUAGUCGAUACAACCGGUGCAGGUGAUGCAUUUAUUGGAGCAGUUCUGUAUGCUCUCUGUGCCAAUAUGCCACCAGAAAGAAUGUUGCCAUUUGCUUCUCAAGUGGCAGGUAUCGGCUGUAGGGCUUUGGGAGCGAGAGCUGGUCUUCCCCAGCUAACAGACCCUCGAUUGAAACCCUUUUUAGUGAAUGAUCCCCAAAACGUGGCCACAUUGCUAUAGAAGAGAGCACAAGUCAAAAGUUAUUGUCA